UACGUAGGGGGCAAGCGUUGUCCGGAAUCAUUGGGCGUAAAGAGCGUGUAGGCGGCCCGGUAAGUCUGUUGUGAAAGUCCAGGGCUCAACCCUGGAAAGCCGUGGAUACUGCCGGGCUAGAGUUCGGAAGAGGCGAGUGGAAUUCCUGGUGUAGCGGUGGAAUGCGCAGAUAUCAGGAGGAACACCAAUGGCGAAGGCAGCUCGCUGGGACGGUACUGACGCUGAGGCGCGAAAGCCAGGGGAGCAAACGGG
rnacentral:rRNA from 1 species